GUACGGGCAAGUAGAGAAAAUGAGCCUUUAAGAUCUAAUAUCCUAAAAUUCUUCUUUUCUGCUAAUGAAUUUAAUUAUCCCGAGUUGUUGACUCAAUUAUCUUGUUGAGUGCUCGAAAAUCUAUACACAUUCUUACCUUUCCGUUUUUUCUCCGUUAGAACCACCAGUUAAAUAUAUUUGGAUGUGUUGUUUCAGAUGAUACCUCCGCUAAUCAGACCAUAUAAUAUGCGUUACAAUUUAGCUGUUUCAUUGUACGAAAGUCCAUGCGGUGCACGUGGGAACGGUUUGUCAUUUGUAAGUACGCGAAGAACAGAAUAUCAGCUUCGGAUCCAGGCGGAGUAGAUUAUCUUAUUCUUUAGUCUCUUCUGAUGAAACGAAAUAU
rnacentral:misc_RNA from 1 species